GAGGGUAGAGCUUAGUGGUGGAGAGCGUGCUUAGGAUGCCUGAGGUCCCUGGGUUCAAUCCCCAGUUCCUCCG
rnacentral:tRNA from 1 species